UUCAUCGCCCCCAACACGUUCAAAGGAUCACAGUCGUUUUAGACUGAAAAGCCCUAUACGGAUUGACCAUGUAAUGCACACUUCCUGUAAGAUGCACAGCCAAAUGGUUUGCAUGCCCUGCCAAAGGACCCUAUCAUGCGGAAUAGGUGGUUGGAGUACAUUGGUCCCCAGUGGCGACAAAGUGCACAGUUGGGUGCCUGACUGAUCCCCUGGUCAUGAACAGAUGCCAGGACCUACCAGAAACAGCAAAGGUGGGUAUCAUAACAUGUCCAGCAAUGUGAUUGCAAUGGUUUAGCGACUUCCAAAAAUCUUGUUGCCAGAGUCUCCCUCGACUCCUAUGAAAAGGACACGCCAUUACGAGGCCUCUGAUAGUGACCCGAGUUACUGCCCUGAUCGCACAGACGGCUUCAACAAUGACAGGGCUAUGGCAAAGACCUCACCUCCAGCCCCACCUGUUGCCUGCUCACCAACGGUUGUCAAUGGGGAGAACAGAAUUAGGUAGGUUUAGUCUGACCUG